GAUGAACGCUGGCGGCGUGCUUAACACAUGCAAGUCGAACGAAGCACCUUGAUUCGAUUCUUCGGAUGAAGAUCUUGGUGACUGAGUGGCGGACGGGUGAGUAACGCGUGGGUAACCUGCCUCAUACAGGGGGAUAACAGUUAGAAAUGACUGCUAAUACCGCAUAAGACCACAGCACCGCAUGGUGCAGGGGUAAAAACUCCGGUGGUAUGAGAUGGACCCGCGUCUGAUUAGGUAGUUGGUGGGGUAACGGCCUACCAAGCCGACGGUCAGUAGCCGACCUGAGAGGGUGACCGGCCACAUUGGGACUGAGACACGGCCCAAACUCCUACGGGAGGCAGCAGUGGGGAAUAUUGCACAAUGGGGGAAACCCUGAUGCAGCGACGCCGCGUGAGCGAUGAAGUAUUUCGGUAUGUAAAGCUCUAUCAGCAGGGAAGAAAAUGACGGUACCUGACUAAGAAGCACCGGCUAAAUACGUG
rnacentral:rRNA from 1 species